GAGGACGGAAAUUCAUCAAAUCACUCCCUUGUUCACUGGUUCUACAGCAACAAAACACAUACUGAAACUUUCCCACUAAAAGCAUAGAUUCGGGGUCGGUUAAACGAAAAAAUUAAAGAAACAAGAGGAAAGCGUGAGAAUUAUUUAACAAUGACUGGAAUACGUAUUCAUGCUUCAUUCCUACAGCGGUUAACCGUCGCGCAAUUAAAAUCCAAGGCACAGCAAACAGUUUGAAGCGUUUUUGAAACCCGUCAUGGAACAAAAACGCCAGCUGCCCUGAUUUAUCACUGUUGACUUCACCUUAAAAAUAAUGAUUUACUGAGAGGAAAUGUCUAGAAGUGUACAUCAUUAUCUGUCUAAGGUCUGAGGAUGUGUUUUAAGAUCAACUCAAAGUAAAAGAAACACCUUGUCUCUGAUUAGGCCCAUCCGCGGCAGAUCUGUCUCUUUUAUGAUUCCAUUUAUUACAUCCUUGUGUUCUGUAUGUUUGAAAUGUUCUUAUUUCCAGCUUUCAGUACAUUUCACGCUGCUCGUGUUUUGUUUGCUUUGUCUUUAUCAUUCCGCUCCUGUCUUUUCUGAAUGAUUCGUUGUUAUUUUGUCUUAAUUAGGUAUUUCUGUAUAAGAAUUUGUCUUCUGAAUACGCCCUCUAUUGUCCUUUUUCUUCUCAUUUGUGUAUUAAUUAAUAAUUUUUACUCUUGUAUGUCGUCAAAAAUCAUUCGUUCAUUAACCUUUAUAAUUCAACAAAUAAACUUUGCAAUAUGGAAAGAAAUGUCGAUGUAAACUCUAAAAAUAAUCUACUUUUAUUUAGCAUUCCUCUUUCGAAGGCAUUUUUUGGUCAACAAUCAAAUCUGUGCGAAAGAGAUCGCGAACAAAACCUUCCGCGAACCUCUCAGGUUAUGCAAAUUCGCUCAUCUACAUAUUGAGCCGCGGAGACAUAUUACUCUACCCCCGCGGGAAUGACGUGCGAGGUGUUUUGACGGGAGCCUCUCGCUCCCGAUGCAAAGACGUCUGCAUCAGCAAUGGCAUCACCGGGGCAACCGACUUCAGAAUAAUCAAGGGGACACUCCUUGAGAGAUUUCGAGAGAUCUGUGCACUAUACAUGUACGUUCAGCUGCCUAGAUUCCAAUGGACGGAAACUAUACCUUUCUUCGCCAGAAGAGGGGGCGUCACGCCCACUCCCCAUUCACCUUCAGAUGGAUUUUUUGUCUGCUGGUUGACUAUAUACGAGCAACAGCUUAUCGUUAUGAUGGCUGAGGUCUCAAGACGUUGAAAUGGCGCCUCUGGCCGAAGUCAUGAUGGCAGAGUUCGAGCUGCGGUUUGGAGCUCCUGGUAAUAAAUGAUCAUUAUUUACGCAGCAAUUGCCUGAUUUUGGAUGGGCUCAGGGCAGGCCGCUUACCAACAUCUGCCAAUUUUAAAAUAUUAAUUGGCUGGUGUUGAGGCUACCUCUUUGCUGAUCGUCGUGAUCGAAGACAACGACCACGUGACAGCAGUGUCUUACCCUGUCAUCGUGCGGGAUUACUAGAUAGCUCCCACACGAACCUACAUGUACUUGACUUGUAGAUUGAACAUUCAGCAUUCGCAGUGACGUCAAUGCAGUGUCAAACACUGUCUGGCUAGCUGUGGGGCCCUGUAUUAGAUUUUUGUUGAUUUUGAGAUUAAAGGGCAGACCUUUUAUGCAGUGAUCUCGUAUUUUGAUUUGUGAUAAUGUUCAUUUUCUUCGAAAUGCAGUCAAUUACAUGUACAUGUUAAUUUAACAAAACCAGCCUAGUUGAUCUAUAUAAAAAAAUUCUGUUUAUUUUCUGGCAGGCGAGCCUCUUUUAUAAUAAUUAAUAACGACUGUGAACAUGUACAAGAAUGACUACAGUGUAUUCCAUUUCAUUCUACGUUCCAUCCCAACUAAAUACCAUUCCUAUGCACUUCUUGCUUCGGGGAUCAACUUCAAAUUCAACCCACACCCACAUUAUGCGCCUUCAAUUAUUUAUAUUUCUCUGAGUUUAUUUUGGUGUGGUGAAAAAAACGAUUCCCGAUACCACCCUUUGAGAGAGAUUUUUUUCAAAGGCCACUUUAAAUUUGCAAAACUCCUCUGGGCCCAGGUGGAAAUUUACUCCAUUUGUUCCCACAAAACACGUCCUUUUUUAAAAUUCGUAUGAAUGUCACCGAAUAUCAUUCCUCGUCCUUUGACCCUUUCACGUGGUUAGCCCCAUGAAACUUAAGGGAUAUCACUGGUCGUAUCGGCCGGCUCGCCCACAGUAUAGUCAGAGUGAUUGCUUAUCCGCUGUGGUUUUUCACAGGAAACCAUUAUCUGGAUUUCUGGGAACAGUAUACUCGCGUCUCACAAUCUCUCGUUUUAAAUUGAGCGUAUGAGAUAAAAGUAACGCUGCAGAUGAAUAGGUCACAGCAUACCUAAUGAAUAUUUAGCCACACUAUAAGAGUAGGAUAAUCGCUUUCAAAAUGGCGAUUUGUAUGAAAUUUUGUGUACAGAGUAGAGUACUGAAGUGUAAAAUUAUUGUAGCUGACUACCUUAAAGUCCGUGUGUUUUUAUGCUCACUUGCUUCAGGAUGUGACAGUUUAUUCUUUUGUUCUGAUAAUAGUGCCUGUUGUAUUCGGUGUUGAUACAAAGGAAUCGCUGAAAGGAGGAAAACAUUAUUAAACUGAAAUAUUGAGUACAGCCCAACUACACUGUAAUAAGUGAAUAAUUCCCGGAUAUUUCUGAAAUGGCAACAUUUUGUGAAUGACAAGUUAGUUGUUCAGUAAUGCAGGCACUUCGAAAAAAAGGCGACCAUCACAGAACACCCACUUGUUCUUCAACUACACGUUAUAGUGUUCAUUUGCACUGGAUGCUACGGAAGCGUGAAGGGGACGUGGUGUUUUUCUUAAUGGCAAAGUCAUGAUUUUGACUCGCAUCUCACAAUUAUGACCAAGUAUUAUUGUUAUUGUUGUUAUUUUGGUUUAUUCGACUGUUCAUAACAUGUAAGCCAUGCAUAUUUAAGAUUUGUAUCUCAUAUAAUUAUGGCUUAGCUAAAGCACAUAAAACUGAGCUUAUAGUAAUGAAAUUUAAUGUACACGUGGCAGCUAGGUGCCAUAACGAUUACAAACAGGUCUGUGACUUUUUAAGUAGAUGGAAUAAUUAUGAGACUUAGUCGUAAUUAUGACUUAAUAUUUUCUGUUAAUUUUCAUCGUGUCCCCUCAACGCUUCCGUAUGGUGCCGCUCCAUCCUCCGGGUAAUUAUUUGCGUUGGAUUACAUAGGUUCGAUUCUUUGGCAUGAACUCUUAAGUCAUCUAUGAUGUGCUGAGAUGCUCAGUGUCUGUCACUGUGCGGGGGGGGGGUCGGAAGAAGGAAUUUAAUGUCGUGACUCGACACCGCGAUGUGGCUGGAGGCCCUGCUGGGAUUCUAAUCCAUAGUUGAUUCGCGCAAGAUUGACGUCAUGCAGCGAGCACGCCACCUCAAGCCCCCGUCGGAAUCCCGACGAUGCUAUGGAUGCUUGGCACGCAGUGAGUGGGAAACGGACUCUUCCUGAAGCGCUCAGGGGCUAAAAAUAAAGUUAUGUCCAUUGAUGGAUCGACUGUGGCCUUAAAGUAAAUUCAUUUAAAAGGCCUCGGUUUGUCCUGUGCACAAGUUGUUUACUGAUGAGGAAUGAUCCGUGGGCAAGAUACUGUGAUCAUAUUACAUACAAACUUGGCUCAGUAAGUAAAUUCACGUGGGCAUCAAGUUCCAAUUCAGUCAGGAAAUAAAUCAUGAAAAGUAAAAAUCUUCAAAUCAAUAAUGUCACUUUAAAAUAGUUAAACAUCUCUAAAUCAAAGGACACUCAAGUUCAUCUAUGACCGUCAUUCAGCAAGUUGGUCUAAAUUUAAAGUUGGCUCGAUCUGUACUCGGCAUUGCGUCAGCUGGGGUAUUCUUGUACAAAGGAAUGAUAAUGAUCAAUUUAUGCUUAAUUAUUAAACCAUUGAAAUGUA